CCUACGGGAGGCAGCAGUGAGGAAUAUUGGUCAAUGGACGCAAGUCUGAACCAGCCAUGCAGCGUGCAGGAUGACGGCUCUAUGAGUUGUAAACUGCUUUUGUACGAGGGUAAAUUGCGUCACGUGUGUUGGUUUGUAAGUACCGCAUGAAUAAGGACCGGCUAAUUCCGUGCCAACAGCCGCGGUAAUACGGAGGAUCCAAGCGUUAUCCGGAUUUAUUGGGUUUAAAGGGGGCGUAGGCGGCACGAUAAGCUCGCCGUGAAAUGCCGGGGCUCAACCACGGCACUGCGGCGGGAACUGUCGUGCUAGAGUGUGGGUACGGUAUGCGGAAUGUGUGGUGUAGCGGUGAAAUGCAUAGAGAUCACGAAGAACUCCGAUUGCGAAGGCAGCAUACGGAAGCACUACUGACGUUGAAGCUCGAAGGCGCGGGUAGCGAACAGGAUUAGAUACCCUAGUAGUC
rnacentral:rRNA from 1 species